UAAGCAGAGUAUGAAAUUUUACGGCUCAACCGUAUACCCGUAUUCUGAACUGAUUAACUAGAGGAUGAGAGAGGUUAUUGGAAUUUCUUGUGUAGGAGUGAAAUCCGUAGAUAUAAGAAGGAACACCGAUGGCGUAGGCAGAUAACUGGCUCAUACCUGACACUCAGGCACGAAAGCGUGGGGAGCGAACGGGAUUAGAUACCCCGGUAGUCCACGCCGUAAACGAUGGAUGCUA
rnacentral:rRNA from 1 species